ensembl:lncRNA
CAUUUUUCUUUCACAUUUUUCUAUCAACGAACUAUUUGGAUUUCAAGAACUGCUGAAUAUCAGGGAUCAGUAUCAAAGUCCCUUUGACCUUGAAAGAUCAUCUCGUCCAAUUCCCCUGCUGGAGCAGGAAAGCAUUAACACAGGUCUUGAUAUGCAGACUGUGGGAAAACAAGACCUUGAUGUCAACUGCUGUUGAUUUCAUGGGAAUUGCUCAGCCUCCUGCUGCUUAAAUUCAAUGGAAGACAACAUGGUCUAUCUGUAUGAGAGUACAAGAAAGAUUGUACAUAUCCAAAAUUAGUGUCCUGGUCAGAAGACUGUCCCUGACAGUGGUCUACAGGAAACUAUAACAGAUACAAAAAGCACAAUAACACUCUUUGAUAGAGCAAAUUCUCAGCUACAAAACACUAUUUUUCAAUAUAGCAGUCAUAUGUACUUUCACCUGUGAUGAACAAGAGUCUGCAUGCCAUGCUCAUAAAACUCUGCACCAGAAGAGGUGACCCACUGUUUCACAGCUGCUAUGAUUACAUGAUUGCAAGGGAAAUAUUACCAGUACAGUCCAUCUUUCAUUGGCUGGAACAGAUGAAAGUCAGAAGGCACCAAAUCUGGACUAUAUAGG